rnacentral:rRNA from 1 species
CGGUACGUACUGGCAUUGUUGGUUUCUCCCUUCUGACGAACCAUGAUGUCAUUUAUUUGGUGUUGUGGGGAAUCAGGACUGUUACUUUGAAAAAAUUAGAGUGUUUAAAGCAGGCUCACGCUUGAAUACAUUAGCAUGGAAUAAUGAAAUAGGACGUUUGAUUCUAUUUUGUUGGUUUCUAGGAUCGACGUAAUGAUUAAUAGGGAUAGUUGGGGGCAUUAGUAUACAAUUGUCAGAGGUGAAAUUCUUGGAUUUAUUGAAGACUAACUACUGCGAAAGCAUUUGCCAAGGAUGUUUUCAUUAAUCAAGAACGAAAGUUAGGGGAUCGAAGACGGUCAGAUACCGUCGUAGUCUUAACCAUAAACUAUGCCGACUAGGGAUCGGAUGAUGUUAAUUUUUUAAUGACUCAUUCGGCGCCUUACG